rnacentral:rRNA from 1 species
CCUACGGGGGGCUGCAGUGAGGAAUAUUGGUCAAUGGGCGGAAGCCUGAACCAGCCAAGUAGCGUGCAGGAUGACGGCCCUACGGGUUGUAAACUGCUUUUAUACGGGAAUAACGCGCCUUACGUGUAGGGCUUUGCAUGUACCGUAUGAAUAAGGACCGGCUAAUUCCGUGCCAGCAGCCGCGGUAAUACGGAAGGUCCGGGCGUUAUCCGGAUUUAUUGGGUUUAAAGGGAGCGUAGGCCGCAUGUCAAGCGUGCUGUGAAAUGUCCGGGCUCAACCCGGGCCUUGCAGCGCGAACUGGCGUGCUCGAGUCCGCGGAAAGCAGGCGGAAUUCGUCGUGUAGCGGUGAAAUGCUUAGAUAUGACGAAGAACCCCGAUUGCGAAGGCAGCUUGCUGCAGCGGAACUUACGCUGAUGCUCGAAAGCGCGGGUAUCGAACAGGAGUAGAUACCCGAGUAGUC